rnacentral:lncRNA from 1 species
UCAGUUUUUGACUGUUGGAAUAUAAACGACUGCAAGAAUACACCAUAAAUCUAUACGGAUGCCCUUCGACUGCUCGCCGAAGUCCUUUUUGUCCCAGCCGGUAGGUCUCUAGAUGUUACAGAGAACCCCGAACAACCCAAACUGCUAAUCUUCGAUACCGCUUUAUACUCAUGAUCUUGUAUCCACUGACUGUCUCGUUAGAUUAACCCAAUAAAUUUCAUUCACUCUCCAUACUCAAUCCUAUAGACACCCUUUUAAUUCUUCAUCACAGACGUAACUCGAUUUCACAAAACAGUCAAGAGUAAUCAAACCCACUUCAUUAAAAAUCCCGAUUCACCAUUACAACACUGACUUCAGCAAUGAUUGCCUCAGUCUUCCCAAAACCCUAU